GCAGUUCAUGGAGGAACUGUUUCUCAAGGAAAAAGGGAGGGAGACAACCAUGAUAGAUUCAGUACAAACUGUGAAGGCAGACCUCUUAUCAUAACUGAUUCUGGUAUUCAUGAUGCAAUCAGAUUGUGAAAGAUCCAGAUCUAUAAUGACCAAACUGUGAUGAUGUGAACAAUGGAACAGUGCUUAAAUUCAAAAACCAUGAAUUUCAUAUCCUACAAAGUGCAGAAAAUCCAAAGAAAAGACAACCCAUUUACAGAAAGAAUAUGAAAGGCAAAGACAAACACACAUGCAUUCAACAACAUAAAAAUCAAAAGAACCAAGCAACCAGAGAAACUAUGGCUGCAACAAUGGCUGGUGCUGACGGAGCCACUCCAGCACUCUCCAUGGACGGCGACGGUGCAAUCCUUUCGAAAUCUUCAAGUGCUCCUGUGGCUCCAAGGAAAGCCAUCAAAACCAAAAUGUAAAUGGUAAAGAAAAUGGCCAACCUGCAGUUCUCCAUAUCUUACUAAACUCCCAGCUGCUUAAAAGGGAAUAAGAACUGGAUGCUUGGAGAACAAGUGCUCUGUAGAAGUGGGUUUGAAUUCUGAGAAGAGAAAGGGGAGCUUCCAUGCUUUUAAAAGGAAGUUUGUGGAGUACUGAAGAGGAAUCUGCCAGUUCUUUAGUGUUGGGAUAACCACAAACAGAAUCAUUUGAGAUGGUGAUCUGUCAACUGUCACAUGCAUUUUACAUUUCUCAGGCUUUACCAUCCUUAACAGGCUGGACUAAGUGCAUCCAUUGGGGUUCAAUGGCUCUGUCACUUAUCAGAGUGAUUCAGAGAUACACAUUUCAAGGUGGCAAUGAUAUGAUGUUAUUAUUGAGAAGAUGCCAAUGAUUUGAUAUUCUAUAAUUGUUUGGUAGAUUCCAGGUAAUGUUGAGUGUUAUUAAAUUAUAGAUGUCAGUGCCAAUUAUAGUUAAAUGGAUUGCCUUGCAACUUGUAAGCUUUAAUUGUAAACAAAGGUGACUGACUAAUAAUUUUUCAUGUCUUUCAUACUAUUAGGAUCAGUUGAGGAUGAGACCCAAUGAAGAGAUUGAUGAGGGCUAAAGAUCAGUUCUUGAUAA